rnacentral:sRNA from 1 species
GCUGGGUGUGGUGGCACACGCCUGUAAUCCCAGCAGCUUGGGAGGCUGAGGCAGGAGGAUUGCAAGUUCGAAGUCAGCCUCAGCAACUUAGUGAGGCCCUAAGAAACUUAGUGAGAAACUGUCUCAA